CUGGCUCAGGAUGAACGCUGGCGGCGUGCUUAACACAUAGCAAGUCGACGGAGUGACUUUGAUGAAGAUUCGUCUGAUUCAGCUGUACACGUUAGUGGCGGACGGGUGAGUAACGCCGUGGGUAACCUGCCUCAGUACAGGGGGAUAGCAGCUGGAAACGGCUGAUAAAACCGCAUAAGCGCACACUAUCGCAUGAUAGAGUGUGAAAAACUCCGGUGGUAUGAGAUGGACCCGCGUCUGAUUAGCUUGUUGGUGAGGUAACGGCCCACCCAGGGCGACGAUCAGUAGCCGGCCUGAGAGGGUGAACGGCCACAUUGGGACUGAGACCACGGCCCAAACUCCUACGGGAGGCAGCAGUGGGGAAUAUUGCACAAUGGGGGAAACCCUGAAUGCAGCGACGCCGCGUGAAGGAUGACGUAUUUCGGUUAUGUAAACUUCUAUCAGCAGGGAAGAACAAGUGACGGUACCUGACUAAGAAGCCCCGGCUAACUACGUGCCAGCCGCGGC
rnacentral:rRNA from 1 species